CACAUGCAAGUCGAACGGAGCUGAGAGGAGCUUGCUUUUCUUAGCUUAGUGGCGAACGGGUGAGUAACGCGUGAGUAACCUGCCCUGGAGUGGGGGACAACAGUUGGAAACGACUGCUAAUACCGCAUAGGCCCACGGCCCGGCAUCGGGCUGAGGGAAAAGGAUUUAUUCGCUUCAGGAUGGACUCGCGUCCAAUUAGCUAGUUGGUGAGGUAACGGCCCACCAAGGCGACGAUUGGUAGCCGGACUGAGAGGUUGAACGGCCACAUUGGGACUGAGACACGGCCCAGACUCCUACGGGAGGCAGCAGUGGGGGAUAUUGCACAAUGGGGGAAACCCUGAUGCAGCGACGCCGCGUGGAGGAAGAAGGUUUUCGGAUUGUAAACUCCUGUCGUUAGGGACGAUAAUGACGGUACCUAACAAGAAAGCACCGGCUAACUACGUGCCAGCAGCCGCGGUAAAACGUAGGGUGCAAGCGUUGUCCGGAAUUACUGGGUGUAAAGGGAGCGCAGGCGGACCGGCAAGUUGGAAGUGAAAACUAUGGGCUCAACCCAUAAAUUGCUUUCAAAACUGCUGGCCUUGAGUAGUGCAGAGGUAGGUGGAAUUCCCGGUGUAGCGGUGGAAUGCGUAGAUAUCGGGAGGAACACCAGUGGCGGAGGCGACCUACUGGGCACCAACUGACGCUGAGGCUCGAAAGCAUGGGUAGCAAACAGGAUUAGAUACCCUGGUAGUCCAUGCCGUAAACGAUGAUUACUAGGUGUUGGAGGAUUGACCCCUUCAGUGCCGCAGUUAACACAAUAAGUAAUCCACCUGG
rnacentral:rRNA from 1 species